UACGUAGGCAGCGAGCGUUGUUCGGAGUUACUGGGCGUAAAGAGUGCGUAGGCGGUUUUCUAAGUUUGGUGUGAAAUCUCCCGGCUUAACUGGGAGGGUGCGCCGAAAACUGGAAGGCUUGAGUGUGGGAGAGGUAAGCGGAAUUCCUGGUGUAGCGGUGAAAUGCGUAGAUAUCAGGAGGAACACCGGUGGUGUAGACGGCUCACUGGACCGUAACUGACGCUGAGACACGAAAGCGUGGGUAGCAAACAGG
rnacentral:rRNA from 1 species